GAUGAACGCUGGCGGCGUGCUUAACACAUGCAAGUCGAACGAAGCACUUAAGAUUGAUUCUUCGGAUGACGUCUUUUGUGACUUAGUGGCGGACGGGUGAGUAACGCGUGGGUAACCUGCCUCACACAGGGGGAUAACAGUUAGAAAUGACUGCUAAUACCGCAUAACCCGAUAGGAUCGCAUGAUCCAGACGGAAAAGAUUUAUCGGUGUGAGAUGGACCCGCGUCUGAUUAGCUAGUUGGUGAGGUAACGGCCCACCAAGGCGACGAUCAGUAGCCGGCCGGAGAGGGUGAACGGCCACAUUGGGACUGAGACACGGCCCAAACUCCUACGGGAGGCAGCAGUGGGGAAUAUUGCACAAUGGGGGAAACCCUGAUGCAGCGACGCCGCGUGAGUGAAGAAGUAUUUCGGUAUGUAAAGCUCUAUCAGCAGGGAAGAAAAUGACGGUACCUGACUAAGAAGCCCCGGCUAACUACGUG
rnacentral:rRNA from 1 species